ACGUCCCAUCAUACCUUCCAAGUCCCAUCAUACGUUCCAAAUUGAUCCCAUUUUAACAUACGAUUUGCGCAGAACGAUUUUUUAACUUUUAUUAAGAUUAACUUUUAUUUAUUUUUACUGGUUGGCAGCACCUGGCAUGGCGGUAUAAAUUCUAUGAAAUCAAAUGUUUAUGUAGAUUUAGGCACCAUUUCGUGAGGUAAUCACUGAAAGAGAUAAGAAAAAAGAUUCAGAAUUGAACAUCAUGGAGGCAAGAGUUUAUUCUAAACAUCAUAAGGCAUCUCUAAAGAAAUGUUGGUGUAAGAAAUG